CAGCCGCGUAAUUCCAGCUCCAAUAGCGUAUAUUAAAGUUGUUGCAGUUAAAAAGCUCGUAGUUGAAUUUCGGGAUUGGCGCAUCGGUCGUGCCUCACGGGGUAUGAACUGGUGCAGUCAAUUUCUCACCUUCUGGAGAACCGCGAUGUCCUUAAUUGGAUGCCGCAGGGAACCAGGACCUUUACUUUGAAAAAAUUAGAGUGUUUAAAGCAGGCAUUUUUGCUUGAAUACAUUAGCAUGGAAUAAUAAAAUAGGACGGCAUGGUUCUAUUUUGUUGGUUUCUAGGACCACCGUAAUGAUUAAUAGGGAUAGUUGGGGGCAUUAGUAUUCAAUUGUCAGAGGUGAAAUUCUUGGAUUUAUUGAAGACUAACUACUGCGAAAGCAUUUGCCAAGGAUGUUUUCAUUAAUCAAGAACGAAAGUUAGGGGAUCGAAGACGAUCAGAUACCGUCGUAGUCUUAACCAUAAACUAUGCCGACUAGGAAUCAGACGAUGUUAAUUUUUUAAUGACUCGUUUGGCACCUUAUG
rnacentral:misc_RNA from 1 species